rnacentral:rRNA from 1 species
AGUGAACGCUGGCGGCGUGGAUUAGGCAUGCAAGUCGAGCGAUCUUUGCUGGACUUUUAUUGGAGUGCUUGCACAAAGAUAAAAGACUAGCGCUAGAUAGCGGCAAACGGGUGAGGAACACGUAAGUAAUUUUCCCUUUAACCAGACAUAGCUUCGUGAAAACGGAGGUAAUAUCUGAUGACACGGUGUGUUGGCAUCAACAUAUCGUUAAAGGUUGGGACCUUCGGGCCAGCCGUUAGAGGAUGAGCUUGCGUCUUAUCAGCUUGUUGGUAGGGUAAUGGCCUACCAAGGCUAAGACAAGUAGCUGGUCUGAGAGGAUGGUCAGCCACACUGGGACUGAGACACUGCCCAG